rnacentral:lncRNA from 1 species
UGGUGGUGUAAAGAAUGAAAAUUAGUGGUGCAAAGGAGGAGGUUUAGAGGCUAAAAAUAAAAGAAAAAGUGAGAAAGGGAGGAGCAAUAAGGAGGAAACGCCAAAGGGGGAGGAGGAAAGAACAAAAUAAAGGAAAAAAUGUGAAUGGUGGCUACAUUAGGUGGGUUAGAUGGUUCAAGCUUGGUAAAUGAAAGAUAAUGGAAGCUUUCAGGGACAAUGGCAUGAAAAGUAGAUCAUGG